AGCACUGCCCCCGGUAAGUGAGGGUGGGAGUGGCUUCACCCUACCUGCUGCCCUUUGACCUCCCAUCUGUCCUCAGGAGCU
rnacentral:pre_miRNA from 1 species